CGUGGCCGUUUCACAGGAGAAGGCUCACUCUCCGACUGUGAAUCUGUUGUAUUCACAACAAAUAUUUUAGGAAAAUAUUAGAACUUCCUUGCUGAGGCAUCCCUUUGGGCAGAUUGAAGUUGCCCUGGAUCAGCAAGGAAGAGAUAACUGUUGUGGCUAAAACAUGGUACAUAUUCUUGUUAUUUCAAUUAGCUUAUCUGAUCCACUGCUUAUCAACAUCAUGACUUUCCUUGACCAAACAUCUAAUGAAGUCAGAGGAGGAAUACCUGCUGGCCUCUGCCUCCAGGUAUGCUCCAUUAACUUGCCCUGCGUCCUCACAUGCGGUAUAAACUAACACACUUCCCUUAUCUGAGUUUCAGACCCUGUCUCACAGUGGUUUUCCACUUGUUGGACUCCAGUGUUACAGCCAUUACAAAUACACAGCUUACCUCAGUUGGAUCUAUUUUAUUUCUGUCAUACUGCUCUUAAGAUACGAUGAAAAUGUUCCUGGGUUUUCAAUAAGUA